rnacentral:lncRNA from 10 species
GAAAUAGCGUCUCAUUUGCGUUUUUCACUCUGGGAAACAAUAAAAACCUCUGCUUCCCAGCUGCAGGUUCUAGCUAAGAUAUUCAUGAGGUGACAGUACUUUUUUAACGAAUGUGGAGUUCACCAUAUUCAGCCAGGACCACUUUGUGUUGUUAAGACUUAACUUUUUUUUUUUUUUUUUUUUGAGAUGGAGUCUUGCUGUGUCACUCAGGCUGGAGUGCAGUGGCGUGAUCUCUGCUCACUGCAACCACUGCCUCCUGGGUUCAAGCGACUCCUGCCUCAGCCUCUCGAGUAGCUGGGAUUACAGGCAACAGGCACACAUCACCACACCAGGCUAAUUUUUUUACUUUUAGUAGAGACGGGAUUUUGCCACGUUGGCCAGGCUGGUCUCGAACUCCUGACCUCAAGUGAU